rnacentral:rRNA from 1 species
UACGUAGGGGGCGAGCGUUGUCCGGAUUUACUGGGCGUAAAACGUUUGUAGGCGGCCACGCCAAGUCGGACGUGAAAUCUCCCGGCUUAACUGGGAGGGGUCGUUCGAUACUGGCGGGCUCGAGGCAGGUAGGGGGAAGCGGAAUUCCCGGUGUAGUGGUGGAAUGCGUAGAUAUCGGGAGGAACACCAGUGGCGAAGGCGGCUUCCUGGACCUGUUCUGACGCUGAGGAGCGAAAGCGUGGGGAGCGAUCCGG